rnacentral:sRNA from 1 species
CAUAUAUUAAAGGUGGCCACAUUAAUUAUAAUCUUAUUCAUUCGGAUGAAAUCGACACCUGAAAAACAAAAUUAGUUUAUCAAAUUGAAAAAUUGAUGAUGCAAAGUUAUAAAGCAAAAACAAAGUAAUGCACACUUACCUAAUGUCGAAAUCUAGGUUCCUUUAACUUUGAUACGAAAUCAAAUUUUUUUCAAGAAUACAUACUUACCUAAAGUAAAAGUAGACGGUUCUUUUGAAAUUAGAUUUUUCCGAAGAAACCGAAAGUAUCUUUGUUUAGCCAUUAAAUCAUGUAGUAACAUAUCUCUAUCCUAUCGGUAAUGGAUGAGGACCAAGAGCGAAGUACCAUGUACAAAAUUAGUUCAAUAAACGUAAAACUUCAAUCAAUUAAUAAUCGAUGAAUUAUUAUUUUU